rnacentral:rRNA from 1 species
AUGAAAAGAACUUUGAAAAGAGAGUUAAAGAGUGCUUGAAAUUGUUGAGGGGGAAGCCAUUGGCGGCUGGGAUGCACCUGGACUCGAGCCGCCCUAACGGGUGGUGUUCCGUGCCAGGAGCUGGUCAGCAUGGGUUACGCCUGCGGGAGAAACCUCCUUCUGGAGUCUAUGCCGCGGGGGUGACCGAGGGACGAAGGGCGCUCUGUCUUCGGAUCUGCGUCCUCAAGAUGCUGGCAUAAGGCUGCCAAUGGGCCCGUCUUGAAACACGGACCAAGGAGUCUAACAUGUACGCGAGUUGGCGGGUGGAAAACCCGUGAGCGCAAGGAAACUGACUGGUGGGAUGGCCUGUGCCUGCACCAUCGACCGACCAUGAUCUUCUGUGAAAGGUUCGAGUACGAGCGUACCUGUUGGGACCCGAAAGAUGGUGAACUAUGCCUGAGCAGGGCGAAGCCAGAGGAAACUCUGGUGGAGGCUCGUAGAUGUGCUGACGUGCAAAUCGCUUUUCGGACUUGGGUAUAGGGGCGAAAGACUAAUCGAACUAUCUAGUAGCUGGUUCCCUCCGAAGUUUCCCCCAGGAUAGCUGGAGCUUAAUCAGUUUUAUCA